rnacentral:SRP_RNA from 1 species
GCUGGGCAUGGCAGUGCGUGCCCAUAGUCCCAGCUACUUGGAAGGCUGGAGGAUUGCUUGAGUCCAGGAGUUCUAGCCUGUAGUGCGCUAUGCCAAUCAGGUGUCCGCACUAAGUUCAGCAUCAAUAUGGUGACCCCCCCCAGGAGUGGGGGACCACCAGGUUGCCUAAGGAGGGUGAACCGGCCCAGGUCGGAAAUGAUGGACGUCAAAACUCCCAUGCUGAUCAGUAGUGGGAUCAUGCCUGUGAAUAGCCACUGUAUUCCAGCCUGGGCAACAUAGCGAGACCCUGUC